rnacentral:misc_RNA from 1 species
GUUUAUCGAAGUUUUCCCGCCUUUAUAUAUUGACAGUUAGAAAUUUAAAACCUUAUUUUUGUAUUUGUUUGUGUUUUGAAGUAAUGUGUAAAAGAACUCUGUGUUUCUUUAAUUGUGUUCAAGUGCGAUAUGUGUGUUUUGUUUAGUGAUCUUUUUUAAAUCACCAUCUGUCGAAAAAGUGGAGGGCGCCGCGAGAGCGAGGCGGGGG